rnacentral:rRNA from 1 species
UGGGGAAUAUUGCACAAUGGGCGCAAGCCUGAUGCAGCCAAGCCGCGUGUAUGAAGAAGGCCUUCGGGUUGUAAAGUACUUUCAGUCGGGAGGAAGGUGGUAAGGUUAAUAACCUUGGCAAUUGACGUUACCGACGGAAGAAGCACCGGCUAACUCCGUGCCAGCAGCCGCGGUAAUACGGAGGGUGCAAGCGUUAAUCGGAAUUACUGGGCGUAAAGCGCACGCAGGCGGUUGAUUGAGUCAGAUGUGAAAUCCCCGGGCUUAACCCGGGAAUUGCAUCUGAUACUGGUCAGCUAGAGUCUUGUAGAGGGGGGUAGAAUUCCAUGUGUAGCGGUGAAAUGCGUAGAGAUGUGGAGGAAUACCGGUGGCGAAGGCGGCCCCCUGGACAAAGACUGACGCUCAGGUGCGAAAGCGUGGGGAGCAAACAGG